AUCCAAGCAAGUUCGGAGAGAUUUAUGAUGAAGAUUUUUUUGUUAAAAUCCUAGCCUAUGAUGUGCGAGUGGUGAACAAGAUUCCUGAUUAUAUUAUGCAAAGGUUCGAUUACAAUAUGAGCAAUGUUUACAACUUCAAGAUCAAAGCUUGGUCCUCCAUCAGUUAUUACAGGGAUACAGUUCAUCCAAAGCUGCUUGAAGAAAAGCUCAUCAGAAUAUCCCCAUUUG
rnacentral:misc_RNA from 1 species